GUACACGCUGUGACUAGCAUAUCAAUAAGCGGAGGAAAAGAAACUAACAAGGAUUCCCCUAGUAACGGCGAGUGAAGCGGGAAGAGCUCAAAUUUGAAAUCUUAAAGGGUUUCCCUUUACGAAUUGUAGUUUAAAGAAGUGUUUUCUGUUGAGGUUUUGGUAAAAGUUCUUUGGAAUAGGACAUCAUAGAGGGUGAGAAUCCCGUAUUUGACCUUUACUUUCAACUUUGUGAUACACUUUCAAAGAGUCGGAUUGUUUGGGAAUGCAGUCCAAAAUGGGUGGUAAAUUUCAUCUAAAGCUAAAUAUUGGCGAGAGACCGAUAGCGAACAAGUACCGUGAGGGAAAGAUGAAAAGAACUUUGAAAAGAGAGUUAAACAGUACGUGAAAUUGUCAAAAGGGAAGCGUUUGACACCAGUGUUGUUUUUCUGAAAAUCAAUUAAAGAACUGUUUAUGCUAAGCUGUUUAGACUUUAUCAGCUAUCUGUUUAGUUUUGAGCUUUUCUUUAAUGCACUUUUCAGUUAACAAGUCAACAUCAAUUUCUUUUGCUGUAAAAAAGCUUGAGGAAGGUGGCUUGAGAUUCGUCCUUAAGUGUUUAUAGCCUCUUGCCUAUGCAGUCGGAGAGAUUGAGGUCUGCAGCGUAGAUCCUUCGGGGCUAAAUGCAUUUGUGCUAAGUUAUAGCAUUUUAUAGACAACUUGUUGACUAUGAUUUGUCUUGUAGCUUACUCGCUUAUGUUAUUUUACCUACGCUUAGGAUGUUGAUAUGCAUGACUGAUAU
rnacentral:rRNA from 1 species